UACAGAGGUCCCAAGCGUUGUUCGGAUUUAUUGGGCGUAAAGGGUGCGUAGGUGGCGGGGUAAGUUGGAUGUGAAAUCCUGGGGCUCAACCCUAGAACUGCAUUCAAUACUGCCUUGCUGGAGUACUGGAGAGGAGAUUGGAAUUUACGGUGUAGCAGUGAAAUGCGUAGAUAUCGUAAGGAAGACCGGUGGCGAAGGCGGAUCUCUGGACAGUUACUGACACUGAGGCACGAAGGCCAGGGGAGCAAACGGG
rnacentral:rRNA from 1 species